rnacentral:rRNA from 1 species
AGGUAAUAACAAUAUUCAAACCUACUUAUUUUGGUGGCAUCUAACCUACUUAGAGGAACUUGUUUAAUAAUCGACAUUACACGAUAAACUUCACUAAAAAUUAAAACUUAUAUACCGCCGUCUAAAGAACUAAUUAUAAAAUAUUAUUCUUAAUAAAAAAUAAAAAGUUAGGUCAAGGUGUAGUCUAUUUUUUAGAAAAAAUGAGUUACUUUAAAAAAAACUUAAGGAUUAGUAAUUUAAUAUUACUUUAAAAAAGGAUUUAAUAGUAUUAUUUAAAUAAUAAUUUCAUAUGAAAUAGACAAUAGAUGUAU